UCGCGGGGUGCCGAACCUUCUUACUAGAGCGAGGGGAGCUCUGUGAGCAGGACUGUCCUCUCCCUUGGGGUCUGUGCCAGAGAGCCGAGGAGGGGGAUCUCGAGGGUAGGAAGCAGAGUUUUAUCUGCCUGGUCUCCCUGAGCUGUCCGUCGCGCUCUCGAACUCGCAGUUCUCCUGAAGCAGCCUUGGAAGUAGUUGGGCUAGCACAUAGGCACCACCCUCCGGACUCUCACCCUGACUAGAACAGAAAGACAACCCUUCACCUCUCACGCGGGCCCUGCUAGGCCUUUCUGCUGUGAGACUUCUGCCCUGGAGCCAGCUGUGCAAGGACUGAGGCUUCUAAAACCAGGAGCCAAGGAAGCCUCUCCUCCUUUAAGUUGUAGACUCUGGAUGUCGCAUCUCAGUGACGAAGAAAAUUUAGUACGGCUCCUUGCAAUGGCACACCUCUGACUGAGCCCUCAGUCCCUCUCAAAAACCUAAGGACUGAAGCCCUCUAGACUUCAAUCCAGUAUUAUGGACUACUUAAGAAUAAUUAAGUAGCUCAAGCCACUCAAGGCCGUGAGCUCUUUCUGUGGAGAGGAUCUUGUCUUUUCUCUUUCAAAUAAUCCACUGAUCCUGCUGCUACUCGUGGUUGUCCUGCUCAGGUCUUUGUUCAGAACAUUAGGAACCCAGGCAAGACCUCCAACCCAGUAACAGGAGAAGUGGUGUGAAGAAGAUGACAUGUGGAAGGAAGACUGGACAAAAUAAGUAAAUAAAAGAAUGAAAGUAGAGCAGUCACGGCUGGGUCGAUGGCCCUAUGACUUUAUGGAAGUGGAAAGCACCAAGGAGGAGCAGUAGGUAGUGAAAUCAAGCUUUCCAUUUGAGACUGCGCAUUUAUGGCGCCUUCUAGACAGCUACAUCUAAACUGCGGGGACAAGGACACAGCACCCUGGAUCUAGGAAGAGACAGCCCGAGGUAUAAACCUGAGCACCCGCCAGCAAGUGGGUGGCUCUUAAACCAUGAGUGGGAAUGAGGUGUCUCGGGAUUGAGUACAGAUAGGAAAGAGAGAAGGGUGGAGGACUGGAUCCCAGUCAAGAGUCAGCAGCCAACAAAGAAGGAGGAAGACGGAGGAGCUGACAGACCAUCCCAGAAGCCCUGCAAAUAGGACAUUUGGAGGCAACAUCAUCUUCUAAGCUGAGCAAGACAGUUUUCAAAAGAAUUGAUCCACCAUGUCUAAGGCAGCUUGAAGAUCAAGAUUAAGGACUGGAGACUGACCUUUGCAUAUGGUGACAGGCAGGUCCCAGGUGAACUUGGAAAGAGACUGCAACAAGAACAGCUUUAUUGGAGAGUGAGACAGUGUGCUUAAGGGCAAUGGUGGGAAGACAAAUGAACAGCAACUUUUCUAUCCAGUGCUGGGAGCCUAAUCCAGAACUUUCACUCUGAGCUACACUCGCAGCCUUACCAUGUUUUCCUUUCAAGAAAGGAUUGUGCUAAAUCACUAAGUUGCCCAGGAUGAGCUUGAAUUUGUAAUCCUGCUUCGGCCUCCUGGAGUGCUGGGAUUACUGGUGUAGCACAUACUUCCUUCACAGACUUUCCAAUAAAGGAGAUGACCAGAGGGGGAGUAACUGCAAGGACGCUGAACAGAGGGAAGACUAAAUCCCAAGAUUGGUUUGUUUCAGUUAGGAGACUGCAGACUCUGGGCACAUUAUUCAGCUUUACUGUACCUUCAUUUCUCUGCUAUGAUAGGAGAAAGCCCAUGCCAACCCCAAGUUGUCCCGUGGGCUCUUUUUUUUCUUUGGCGGAAUCAGGGAU